rnacentral:rRNA from 1 species
GACGAACGCUGGCGGUGUGCUUAACACAUGCAAGUCGAACGGUAAGGCCCUUUCGGGGGUACACGAGUGGCGAACGGGUGAGUAACACGUGAGUAACCUGCCCUCAUCUCUGGGAUAACAGUCGGAAACGGUUGCUAAUACUGGAUAUGAGCUUGCAAGGCAUCUUGUGGGUUGGAAAGAUCUUUUUUGGUUGGGGAUGGACUCGCGGCCUAUCAGCUUGUUGGUGAGGUAGUGGCUCACCAAGGCUUCGACGGGUAGCCGGCCUGAGAGGGCGACCGGCCACAUUGGGACUGAGAUACGGCCCAAACUCCUACGGGAGGCAGCAGUGGGGAAUAUUGCACAAUGGACGGAAGUCUGAUGCAGCAACGCCGCGUGCGGGAUGACGGCCUUCGGGUUGUAAACCGCUUUCAAUUGUGACGAAGCUUUUUUGUGACGGUAGCAGUAGAAGAAGCACCGGCUAACUACGUG